GCCAGGGGGUACUGGCAGAGACAAAGACUGAACCCAACAGAGGUAGGGCCAAAGAAAGCUUGUUUUUGAGUCAACAUUAAUCUCUACAGGAUCUAAACUGGGGAAAGCCCAGACUGCGUCCAUGACGGAACCCCAAGCAAACAAUUUUAAUGAAGGGGAAAAGAGGGAUGGAAUAUGAAGUCUGGUGCCUAAUUUGAAGCAAUUUUGAGAUGUCAGAUAUCAUGUAGGCCAUCAACAUCAUUGGUCAGGAGGUCUGAGCUACCAGAGAUACAAGUUUGUAAGUUGUUGUGAUAUAAAUGGAAGUCACUGUGAGAAGCAAUGAGCAAUCUCCCAGGCCAAGGAGUCUCCCACUCAGCCAAAGUGUUCCCUCUAUCAUGGCCGUGAGACAACAUGCCUUGAAUAACCUGCUGGAAGUUGGGACAGGAGGGACAGAGACAUGUUACCCAGUUGUCCUAAAUGAGACCAUUUUAAAUCAGCCAAAAGCUAACUGACCUCCAGAAUGUAAAUGGGCCCAUCUGAGCCUAGCCUCAAUAAAUCUUACUGUUUUGA